AUACGGAGGGUGCAAGCGUUAUUCGGAAUCACUGGGCGUAAAGGACGCGUAGGCGGGUUGGCAAGUCAGAUGUGAAAUCCUACAGCUUAACUGUAGAACUGCAUUUGAAACUGCUAACCUAGAGUAUGGGAGGGGGAGAUGGAAUUAGUGGUGUAGGGGUAAAAUCCGUAGAUAUCACUAGGAAUACCGAAAGCGAAGGCGAUCUCCUGGAACAUAACUGACGCUAAGGCGUGAAAGCGUGGGGAGCAAACAGGAUUAGAAACCCCAGUCUUCC
rnacentral:rRNA from 1 species